CUCACCAUGGGUUGGAGCUGGAUCAUUGUCUUCCUUGUGUCAUUAACUACAGGUGUCCACUGCCAGGUCCAGCUGCAGCAGUCUGGUCCCGAGUUGGGGAAACCUGGUUCCACAGUGAAGUUGUCCUGCAAGGCUUCUGGCUACUCUUUCACUAGCUAUGAUAUCAACUGGUUGAAGCAGAGGCCUGGACAGGGCCUGGAGUAUAUUGGAUGGAUUUAUCCUGGAGAUGGUGAUAUUGGCUGUGCUGAGAAGUUCCAGGGCAAGGCCACACUGACUAUAGACACAUCCUCCAGCACAGCCUACAUGCAGCUCAGCAGCCUGAUAUCUGAGGACUCUGUGGUCUAUUACUGUGCAAGACACACAGUGCUGCAACCACAUCCUGAGUGUGGUCAGAAGCCCUGCAGGAACAGGAAGUUGCCCUGGGACUGA